rnacentral:tRNA from 1 species
UCCCUGGUGGUCCAGUGGUUAGAAUUCUGCCAACCCAAGGGACACAGGUUCGAUCCCUGGCCAGGGAA